AUACAUCCGGUUUGACUUACCCA
rnacentral:siRNA from 1 species